rnacentral:rRNA from 1 species
UACGUAGGGGGCUAGCGUUGUUCGGAAUCACUGGGCGUAAAGGGCGCGUAGGCGGCUUUGUAAGUCGGGGGUGAAAGCCUGUGGCUCAACCACAGAAUUGCCUUCGAUACUGCAUGGCUUGAGACCGGAAGAGGUUAGUGGAACUGCGAGUGUAGAGGUGAAAUUCGUAGAUAUUCGCAAGAACACCAGUGGCGAAGGCGGCUGACUGGUCCGGAUCUGACGCUGAGGCGCGAAAGCGUGGGGAGCAAACAGGAUUAGAUACCCCAGUAGUCC